rnacentral:rRNA from 1 species
UACGGGGGGAGCAAGCGUUGUUCGGAUUUACUGGGCGUAAAGGGCGCGUAGGCGGUCGUGACAAGUCACUUGUGAAAUCUCCGGGCUUAACUCGGAACGGUCAAGUGAUACUGUCGGACUAGAGUACAGAAGGGGCAACUGGAAUUCUCGGUGUAGCGGUGAAAUGCGCAGAUAUCAGGAGGAACACCAAUUGCGAAGGCAGCUCGCUGGGACGUUACUGACGCUGAGACGCGAAAGCGUGGGGAGCAAACAGG